GGCAGCUUAGCUCAGUCGGUUAGAGCGAAGGUCUCAUAAUCCUUAGGUCCCGAGUUCGAAUCUCGGAGCUGCCA
rnacentral:tRNA from 2 species